rnacentral:rRNA from 1 species
AUCAACUUUCGAUGGUAGGAUAGAGGCCUACCAUGGUGGUAACGGGUAACGGGGUGUUAGGGCACGACACCGGAGAGGGAGCCUGAGAAACGGCUACCACAUCCAAGGAUGGCAGCAGGCGCGCAAAUUACCCAAUCCCGACACGGGGAGGUAGUGACAAUAAAUAACAAUACGGGGUUCUUUCGGAUCUCGUAAUUGGAAUGAGUACAAUUUAAAUCUCUUAACGAGGAACAAUUGGAGGGCAAGUCUGGUGCCAGCAGCCGCGGUAAUUCCAGCUCCAAUAGCGUAUAUUAAAGUUGUUGCAGUUAAAAAGCUCGUAGUUGAAUUUCGGGGUUAGUAGGUUGGUCAUGCCUCUGGUAUGUACUGGUCUCACUGAUUCCUCCUUCCUGAUGAACCGUAAUGCCAUUAAUUUGGUGUUGCGGGGAAUUUGGACUGUUACUUUGAAAAAAUUAGAGUGUUUAAAGCAAGCUAACGCUUGAAUACAUUAGCAUGGAAUAAUGAAAUAGGACGUUCGAUCCUAUUUUGUUGGUUUCUAGGAUUGACGUAAUGAUUAAUAGGGAUAGUUGGGGGCAUUAGUAUUCAAUUGUCAGAGGUGAAAUUCUUGGAUUUAUUGAAGACUAACUACUGCGAAAGCAUUUGCCAAGGAUGUUUUCAUUAAUCAAGAACGAAAGUUAGGGGAUCGAAGACGAUCAGAUACCGUCGUAGCCUUAACCAUAAACUAUGCCGACUAGGAAUCAGACGAUGUUAAUUUUUUAAUGACUCGUUUGGCACCUUACGGGAAACCAAAGUGUUUGGGUUC